rnacentral:rRNA from 1 species
CCUACGGGAGGCAGCAGUGGGGAAUAUUGGACAAUGGGGGGAACCCUGAUCCAGCCAUGCCGCGUGUGUGAAGAAGGCCCUCGGGUUGUAAAGCACUUUCAGUGAGGAAGAACGCCUGGUGGUUAAUACCCAUCAGGAAAGACAUCACUCACAGAAGAAGCACCGGCUAACUCCGUGCCAGCAGCCGCGGUAAUACGGAGGGUGCGAGCGUUAAUCGGAAUUACUGGGCGUAAAGCGCGCGUAGGUGGCUUGAUAAGCCGGUUGUGAAAGCCCCGGGCUCAACCUGGGAACGGCAUCCGGAACUGUCAAGCUAGAGUGCAGGAGAGGAAGGUAGAAUUCCCGGUGUAGCGGUGAAAUGCGUAGAGAUCGGGAGGAAUACCAGUGGCGAAGGCGGCCUUCUGGACUGACACUGACACUGAGGUGCGAAAGCGUGGGUAGCAAACAGGAUUAGAAACCCUAGUAGUC